AACGAACGCUGGCGGCAGGCUUAACACAUGCGAGUCGAACGCAUCCUUCGGGGUGAGUGGCAGACGGGUGAGUAACGCGUGGGAACGUGCCCUUCAGUUCGGGAUAACCCAGGGAAACUUGGGCUAAUACCGGAUACGUGCGAGAGCAGAAAGAUUUAUCGCUGAAGGAUCGGCCCGCGUCUGAUUAGCUAGUUGGUGGGGUAAUGGCCCACCAAGGCGACGAUCAGUAGCUGGUCUGAGAGGAUGAUCAGCCACAUUGGGACUGAGACACGGCCCAAACUCCUACGGGAGGCAGCAGUGGGGAAUAUUGGGCAAUGGGCGCAAGCCUAAUCCAGCCAUGCCGCGUGAGUGAUGAAGGCCUUAGGGUUGUAAAGCUCUUUCGUCCGGGACGAUAAUGACGGUACCGGAAGAAGAAGCCCCGGCUAACUUCGUGCCAGCAGCCGCUAACA
rnacentral:rRNA from 1 species